GCCUGGUUAGCUCAGAUGGUAGAGCAGCUGCCCUGUAGAGGCGGUGGUCCCGGGUUCGAGUCCCGGACUAAGACG
rnacentral:tRNA from 1 species